GAGGUUAGAGCAGAGAGGACAAGGCAGAGUAAGCUCAAGACUAAGGCGUCGUCGGAGGAGGAGGCACGUGACCCCCAGAGGGAGGGGGACCCCCAGGGCAGCACGUCUGACAGCAUCGCUCUGAGAAGACUCACCAACGAGUUUCACCAGCUGAGGAUGUCCAUUCAGGAGAGCAUGGGCAGUCUGCCUCAGCAACACAUGUCAGAGACCAUUUCAGCAGUCCCAGAGGCAUCUGAGGUGGCGCACAGUGAGAAGGUGAGAGAGAUGUCGGAGCACCACGGCCACCAGCUGGCGGAGAUCCGGGCACACACUGACCACCUGGAGCAGCAGA